UUAUAUUCACGAAGCCCUGGGCACUGAGAGACGCUGUUACAGAACCAAGCUGGGGUCCACUCGCUAGGCCUACUUAGGUGCCUGGAAUUUCCCUUCAAGGAACUCAGGAGUUUUCUUUAUUUUCAUGCUUGGGGAGACUCAUCAGGCCCCUAAGAGGGGUUCCCCUCCCCAUCUCAGCACUAAAAUGUAAUGAAGAUGUUGCUCAGAGGCAGCUGGAGAGGGAUGGGUCUGUGGCUGACACCCCGCAGAGUGAAGCCGAGAUGAUGCAGCCACCAGGGCCGGAGGGAAGGGCAUUUCACUUUUUAAAUCAGCUUUCUGAGGUAUGAUCUCCAUAUAACCAGCUAGGAGCGUACAGCUUAAUGAUCUUGACAGAUGCCAGCAUCGUUGGAACCACUGCCACCACCGACAUCUCAAACCAUUCCAUCAAACCCAGGACACGCCUCGCUCCCCGAAGCAUCUCUGUUCAAUGGCAGAACUAGCAGAGAUUCAGUGGUCACAAGGCUGGUCUCGAACUCCUGGGUGCAAGCGAUCCUCCCACCUCAGCCUCCCAAAGUGCUGGGAUUACAGGCGCGAGCCACCGUGCCCAGCCAGGAAUGGAUUUUCUCACAGUUCUUGAUGGCGGAAGUCUGAGAUCAAGGUGUUGGCAGGGCUGGGUCUCUCUGAGGCCUUUCUCCCCAGCUUACAGGUGGCUGCCUCCUCUCUCUGUCUCUCCUUGUCUUCCUUCUGUCCACAGCUGUGUCCAAAUUCCCCUUUCUCAUAAGGACAUCAGUGAUGUUGGAUUAGGGCCCUCCCUCCUGACCUUGUUUUAGCUUAGUCUCUGUAACUUAACCCUUGACCUCAGUAAAGAUCCUAUCUCCAAAUGUGUUCCCAUUCCGAGGUCUUGGGGAUUAGGACUUUGAAGGGGUUAAAACAGGCUCUUCUGACA